GGCCUCGUGGCGGAAUGGUUACGCAGCGGACUGCAAAUCCGUGUAUCCCAGUUCGAUUCUGGGCGAGGCCUCCA
rnacentral:tRNA from 1 species